AAUAAGUACCAUGUUUUCAAACAGUGACGGAGACUACACAUUUGUUACUCCACGUAAACUAUUAAUAGUUUAUUUAUUCUUUGGAGUAUUUUUAUCAAAUCUUCACCAAAAGAAAGUUUAACUUGAUCAAAUGAGAAUGUGGGAUAGCUGGGAUUUUGAUAUUUUGUAUUAUUCAUUGUGCACAGGGUGGACCUGGGUGUCCAGUGUUUUACAGAGGUAUACGAGAACCAAUUGCAACUUGUCCUGUGUGUGUCGGGAUCUAUCACAAUUGUGACAACAAUGCAGACUGCACAGGAGGUCGACUUUGUUGUCUUAAUCCAAACUGUGGCAGAUCGUGUGAAUUACCAGGUUAAACGACACAGUUAGAUGAUUACAAAGAUAUUCUCGAAUCCUGUAAAAUUAUCAAAAGUUGUUUUUCAGUUCCUUACUUAAUUUACAAUCUAUUAAAAGAUGCUUUCAUCUU